rnacentral:rRNA from 1 species
GACAGAGGGUGCAAACGUUGUUCGGAAUUACUGGGCGUAAAGCGCGUGUAGGCGGCAGCGCAAGUCGGAUGUGAAAUCCCAUGGCUCAACCAUGGAAGUGCACCCGAAACUGCGUCGCUAGGGUCCUGGAGAGGAAGGUGGAAUGCUUGGUGUAGAGGUGAAAUUCGUAGAUAUCAAGUGGAACACCGGUGGCGAAGGCGGCCUUCUGGACAGUGACUGACGCUGAGACGCGAAAGCGUGGGGAGCAAACAGG